rnacentral:tRNA from 1 species
GUUCUUGUGGUGUAGUGGUUAUCACAUCCGCCUAACACGCGGAAGGUCCCAGGUUCGAUCCCUGGCAGGCACA